CCGACGCUCAAAGGGCUCCCCGUUAGCCGUCUGCGGAACGCCGUGAGAUGCGUCACUUUCCUCGUCAGGCUGCAGAAAAGAGGCCAGUCAUGAUACACAGCCAGCGCUGGACAACUAACCACCACUAAUUCAUCAUGUGGCCGCCCAUGUAAAUGUACAUGCAUAUAUAGGUCGUACAGGUUUUGUUUUUCUUUUCCUUUUUUUGUUGCUGUUGGAAAAAUAUGGGGAUAUAUAGAUCAUACAUACAGGUAUACAACACACAUUAGGGAAUAUAGGUUAAAUCCAAGGGAAGCAUCAUCAUGAUGAUUGAUCGAUUGAUCGGGAUGCAGUUUUGGUUUUUAGGGUAGCGUCGGGAAGUUUCGACGUGCGGGGCAUGAAAGUGAUCGGUGUCGCGAGAUAUCAUCAUGAUCAUCGUUACCUGUAAAGUCUUCUUGUUAUAUACUCCUACCUGUAAGCAUCUGAGAUUUUGGUUUUCAUGCUUGUCUGAUUACUACUGUCCUGUGCAUCUCCCUUUGAUGAGCUUUACCUGUUUGGCAUCUAGCAUCGGCCAGGCACAAUAUCCCUGGUUGACUGCGAGCUCUAGAGCCGUUACCAUCACCAGUGGGGAAGCUGUCAAAUUUGUGUUAUCCAUUGUUCCUUUUUCAUUCAUCCUUGUAUUUCGUUGUAUCGCUGGUCGGCCCAAAAAUAGUAACCAAGAUCCGUUGGUUACGAUGUUGAUUAGAGAGACUUUAUCUUUAUCGGCGGCUACUCCCUUUGUCCCAUAAUAUAAGAAC
rnacentral:lncRNA from 1 species